GACGUAGGGUGCGAGCGUUGUCCGGAUUUAUUGGGCGUAAAGGGCGCGUAGGCGGCAAUUCAAGUCAGCUGUGAAAUCUCCGAGCUUAACUCGGAACGGUCAGCUGAUACUGUUUUGCUAGAGUGCAGAAAGGGCAACCGGAAUUCUUGGUGUAGCGGUGAAAUGCGUAGAUAUCAAGAGGAACACCUGAGGCGAAGGCGGGUUGCUAGGCUGACACUGACGCUGAGGCGCGAAAGCUAGGGUAGCAAACGGG
rnacentral:rRNA from 1 species